ensembl:rRNA 5S_rRNA 5S ribosomal RNA
UUCUAUAUUUAUUUUACUCACUAAAUCUUACUCAAUUUAUCUUACUCAAGGUUACUCACUGAAGAUAAGCAGGGCUGAGCCUGGUUAGUACCUGGAUGGGAGACCACAUGGGAACACUUGGUUACUGUUGGAA